AUGUGCAUGCUCAGGCAAUUUAGUCACAUCCAACUCUUUGUGACACUACGGACUGGAGCCUACCAGGCUCCUCUGUCCCUGGGAUUCUCCAGGCGAGAAUAUUGGAGUGGGCUGCCAUGCCCUCCUUCAGGGGAUCUUCCCCACUCAGGGAUCGAACCCAUGUCUCCUGUAUUGCAGGUAGAUUCUUUACUGCUGAGCCACUGGGGAAGCCCAGUUGUAUGUAUAGCUGACUCUUAAAACCUGGGGGCUAACAGUUCCAAACCUCCCUCGAGGUGGAAAAUCCAUGUACAAUUUAUAGUCAGCCCAGAUACAUGUACUUCUGCAUCUGCAGAUUCCACCAGCCACUGAUCUGUAUCGCUAUAGUAUUUACUACUGAAAAAAUGCCCCUGUAAGUGAACCCUCACCAUUAAAACUUCUGUUAUUCAAGGGUCAAAUGCAUGUAGAUGGUUUCUUUUAGCCAUUUAACAUUACACAAAGGGUUUGAGAUGGCCCAGCUAAUUCAUAUGGGAGAAAUCCUGUGAUCACAUAGGAAACAACUGAAAGAUGUUCAAAAGAAUAUAAUCUACCAAAAACUGUAAAGAAAAAUAAAAAAAUUUCCAGAAACUGUAAUCUAAAAGCAAACAAACAGCUUAAGCUAAAAUACAAUGGUAAUAAUGAUAAGAACCACAUUCAACAAUUUAUAUCUGAGUGCUAUACUCCAAGAAUUACUCCAUCAUCACCACCAAAGCUAACAAAAUCAUUAGACAUUUUAGCCAGAUCACUGGGACAUGAAAAAGUUGUCACUACUAGAGUCAGAGUCUACAGCCAUGGUAGUCAGCUGUACUAGAUUCGAUGCUUGUUGGGGUUUUUUUGCCUUUUUUUUUUUUUAAGUUUUAUUGUCAUUUUAAAUUGAGAUAUAAUUCAAAUAACAUAAANNNNNNNAUUUUCAAAUGCACAGUUCAGCAGAUUUUAAAAAUAUCCCUAAUGUUGCACAGCUCUCACCACUAAUUCCACCACUAAUCAUCCCCAAAAGAAACCCUUACUCAGUCCUCAUUUCCCAUUCGCUUCUUCCUACAGCCCUUGGUAACCACUAAUCUACUUUUUGUCUCUAUUCAGUGCCUGCUCGUCUAGGAAAUAUUUUAAUGUUCCAUUCAGAAUCCUAAAAUACCAUUUUGAGAUCGUAUAACCUAUAUAUUCAUAUACACUUCAGCUGAGUAUCCUUUGUACACUCUAUCAACCUAUGCCCGCCUCUUGACAAGAUCUGAAUUUCUCCCGUUACUCCUAUGCUUUUGCAGCGUUACUGUGAAUGGCUGAAGGAAUUUCAUUAAAUAGAUACUGCACGGAGUAAGCAUCUAACUCAUCUGCUAGUUUGGGGAUUUAUAUUUGAAUAUUGAUUUUUUUAAAAAGUCUAGCAACUGGGUCUCUGUAUUUCAAAAAACAAUUUCAAAAUGAAGCUGCUCCUAUUAGACUGUUGUGGGGUUUUUUGUUUUUUAUCAUUUGCAUAUUUGGAAGCCAGGCACAGAGGCUGAGAAAAGCUGAGAAUUCCAUCUUUAUCACACUGUGUGUCUGGAGUAAGCCUAAGCUCUUUUUUAUCAUAAGGAAUUACAUUUGCUCCUUAAAGAACUUCCCAGAGAUGCUGUGUUAAAAGCCCUGUGGUAGCUGUGUUAAGCAUUAUAGCCACAUGCAGAUGAGCAUCAAAGGCGCAUUAAGUUUAUUUGGCAUCGCUUGGAACCAAGUAUUACCUUACUUGCUCACAGCCAGUCUCAAAGCCAUAAAACCUUAUUUCACAAAAAUGUAACAUUAACACCCCAGUUAGNNNNNNNNNNNNNNNNNNNNNNNNNNNNNNNNNNNNNNNNNNNNNNNNNNNNNNNNNNNNNNNNNNNNNNNNNNNNNNNNNNNNNNNNNNNNNNNNNNNNNAGACUGAAACUCAGCUUCAGAAUCAUCCAGGAUUCCAUUCUCUUAUUUUAUUUUAUUAAGAAAGCAGAGACUCUCCUAAUAAAUCCUCUUUCCCUCUUCUGGCACACUUAAAACCCAUUUCUGAGCUCCACUGCCUACAUCACAUUGACCUUUGGUAUUAAGUACAAAGGGAGGAAAAGAGUAGGUGUGUGGGUGGAGAGAAAGAGAACAGAGGGGAACACAGGUCGAGGAGUGAGGGGACAACCCAAAUGUGGGGCCACUACAUGAGCAAGCCCUCUGCUCAACAUUAGCAGAGCAACAAUAGAUGGCACAGAGAACUAGAAGGCUGUCAGAGGCGCCCAGGCCUCACAGGGGACACAGCAAUCCGAGCCCAAUAUCUGUGCUGCUUCCUAGACACCACCUCCCAUGAGCUCCCUGGACUCU
rnacentral:lncRNA from 1 species